UUUUUUUUUGUUUUAUUUGUUUGUUUUUUCUCAUUCUAAUAAAGUGCUUCCCCUCACAGACAUGGGACCUAGAGCAAGGAGUCCCCAAAUCCAAGAUUUGAACAAAUGCUGUCAGUAUGUCACUUGAAUUUAGAUAGAAUAGUGUCUUAGUCUGUUUUCUGUUGUUUAUAACUGGAUAAUUUAUAAAGAAAAAUAUGUAUUUCUUACAGUUCUAGAAGCUGGGAAGUCCAAGGUCAAGGGGCCACAUGUGGUGAGGACCUUCUUGCUGUGAAGACUCUGCAGAGUCCUGAGGUGGCACAGGGCAUCACAUGGCAAGGGGGCUGAGUGUGCUAGCUCAAGUCUCUCUUCCUUUUCUUAUAAAGCCACCAGUCCCAUUCCAAUGAUAUUGCAUUAAUCCAUUAACCCAUGAAUGUAUUAAUCCAUUCCAAUCCAGAGUCCUCAUGACCCAACCACCUCUUAAAGACCCUACCUCUCAAUACUGUUACAUGGGGAUUAUGUUUCCACGUGAGGUUUGGAGAGGGAAAACAUUCAAACCAUAGGAGAUAGUUAUUAUCUUUUUUAAAAAAGCUGAGGAAAUUGAGGCCUAGAAAAUUUAAAUGACUUACAAAACCAGACAGCUGGCAAAUGGCAGAGUUCCAUUUACACCAAAGCUGACUAUACCAUGUUAAUACAUGAACAAACUGCUGAUGUUCCAGUGUGGUUUUCACCUCAACAAUGGUGGAAUAAGAUAUAAAUUCUUCCAGGUACUCUUGCUAUCUUAUACAAGAGUAACUCCUGGCCGGGCACGGGGGCUCACGCCUGUAAUCCCAACACUUUGGGAGGCUGAGGUGGGCGGAUCACGAGGUCAGGAGAUCGAGACCAUCCUGGCUAACAUGGCAAAACCCCGUCUCUACUAAAAAGUACAAAAAAUUAGCCGGGCAUGGUGGCGGGUGCCUAUAGUCCCAGCUACUCGGGAGGCUGAGGCAGGAGAAUGGUGUGAACCCAGGAGGCGGAGCUUUCAAUGAACCGAGAUCGUGCCACUGCACUUCAGCCUGGGUGACAAAACAAGACUCCGUCUCAAAAAAAAAAACAAAAAAUAGGGUAACUCCUACUAUUAACUUGACUUUAUAUCGUGAGCAUUUUUUAAUAUUUAAAAUUGAAUACAACGUUUUCUCUAAAAACAAAUCUCACAAAGCCACAGUUCCUUAACUAAUCAUGUACAUUCAUGAAGUCGAAAACCAGGAAAAGUGAGGUACCCAGAUUUAUAAAUAAACCUACUAUAGUAAUAGCAUUCUCCUUACAAUUUUAUGUUUUCAUGUCUUUGAGCUCAUUCCUUACAACAUCUUUCUAUAAAAUCUAAUUGCCACACUUCAUGCUUUGUCAUAGGCUCCAAAGACUGUCAUUUCUAAACUAGUUCAUCCAAAGAAGCUACAACAGGAAGGAAAGAUUAAUGUCAUUCAUUGUCUUAGCUAAGGCAAUGGUUUUUCCUAAAUAAAAACAAAAUUGAAGUGAGGACAGAAGGUGUAUGUUCUAGUAAGAAUAAUUCUAACCUGCACCUACAGUCUAGUGAC
ensembl:lncRNA